GAACCAGGUGAGAGAGAGAGAGAACACAGUCCAGCAGAGCUUCAUGGGGCUGAGCAGGAUGGUGAGUGUCGAGGCUCGGAUCUCUUACCUUCCGGAGAAUAACUACCCUGAGCUGAAGAGCUGAUAACAUGCUCUGAACCUCUGGCCUUUCUCUCUGGAUGGACACCCAUCUUUGUGUCCUGGCAUGUGGACUGUCUCCUGCCAUUUGCCAGGCACUUACUUUACCAAGUCAGUUCUGGUUUAGCUCUGACUUCAGUAUUUCCAUUCUAAUCCCCACCUCCUUCUACUUCAAUCCUUGAGCUGGAGGACCCAAGCUCUGAGCUCUCAGAGCUUCCCAUUGAUGGACCGACACUGGAAAACCCCGACACUGGAAACCGACACUGGAAAACCCUGACACUGGAAACCGACACUGGAAAACCCCGACACUGGAAACCGACACUGGAAAACCCUGACACUGGAAACCGACACUGGAAAACCCUGACACUGGAAACUGACACUGGAAAACCCUGACACUGGAAACUGACACUGGAAAACCCUGACACUGGAAACUGACACUGGAAAACCCUGACACUGGAAACUGACACUGGAAAACCCCGACACUGGAAACCGACACUGGAAAACCCCGACACUGGAAACCGACACUGGAAACUGACACUGGAAAACCCUGACACUGGAAACCGACACUGGAAAACCCUGACACUGGAAACCCAUCUCUCUUGCUGGACUCUGACCACAUGAAAAAAUAGACUGGUUUCAGAAUCUACAACAAACGAAGAUGCUGACUUUCUACAAUUCUGAUGCAAAACAAGUGAUAAAGAAGUAAACAACAGGUUACA